UACGUAGGGGGCAAGCGUUGUCCGGAAUCAUUGGGCGUAAAGCGCGCGUAGGCGGCCCGGUAAGUCCGCUCUGAAAGUCCAGGGCUUAACCCUGGAAAGCGGGUGGAUACUGCCGGGCUUGAAUCCGGAAGAGGCGAGUGGAAUUCCUGGUGUAGCGGUGGAAUGCGCAGAUAUCAGGAGGAACACCGGUGGCGAAGGCGGGUCUCUGGGCCAAAACUGACGCUGAGGAGCGAAAGCGUGGGGAUCAAACAGG
rnacentral:rRNA from 1 species